GUGAAAGAGCUCCCUGUCCUGCCCCCUGUCCUAUAGAGCUCUCCCUUCCAUCCCUUAGAGAUCUCCCCUGCCCCUUAGUGGUCUCUCCUCUCCCCCCCACCUCCCUUAGUGGUCUCCUUUUCUCCCUGACUUUCCAUUAGUGGUCUCUCGUCUCCCCCUUAGUGGCCUCUGCUCUCCUCUGCCCCCCCUUUCCAUUAGUGGUCUCUCCUCUCCCCCCACCCUCCCCUAGUGGUCUAUCCUCCACCCCCCUCCCUUAGCGGUCUCUCCUCACACCCCUCCCCUAGUGGUCUCUCCACC